rnacentral:rRNA from 1 species
UACGAAGGGGGCUAGCGUUGCUCGGAAUUACUGGGCGUAAAGGGCGCGUAGGCGGCACUGUUAGUCAGGCGUGAAAGUCCUGGGCUCAACCUGGGAACUGCGCUUGAUACGGCAGAGCUAGAGGAUGGAAGAGGCUCGCGGAAUUCCCAGUGUAGAGGUGAAAUUCGUAGAUAUUGGGAAGAACACCGGUGGCGAAGGCGGCGAGCUGAUCCAUUACUGACGCUGAGGCGCGACAGCGUGGGGAGCAAACAGG